GUUAGGCUGAAAUGCUCUUUCACUGUCUUCUCAUUCCAGCCUUGACCACUUUGGUCCUUGAACCAGUCAUGUCCCUAGAAUCCUAGUGAGCCUGGAUUAGAGCUUCCGUCAGUGGGCAAGCCAGAGACCCCAGCUAUCCACGAGACCCCAGCUAUCUGGGAGCCCUUGUGGUUUUGAAGAGAGGAUGUGAGGCCUCCAGGC
rnacentral:lncRNA from 1 species